UACGGAGGGGGCAAGCGUUAUUCGGAAUUACUGGGCGUAAAGGGCGCGUAGGCGGUCUGUCAAGUGGGAUGUGAAAGCGCCGGGCUCAACCUGGGAACUGCGUCCAAAACUGACUGACUAGAGUGCGGUAGAGGUUAGUGGAAUUGCCUGUGUAGCGGUGAAAUGCGUAGAUAUAGGCAGGAACACCAGUGGCGAAGGCGACUAACUGGACUGAUACUGACACUGAGGUGCGAAAGCGUGGGGAGCAAACAGG
rnacentral:rRNA from 1 species